rnacentral:misc_RNA from 1 species
AUCACAGGAGUUUUCCAUAUGCAAUUCUUAAUCAGUUAACUGAAUUAACUUGAGUUCAACACCUUCCUGUACGUAACUACCAUAUAUAUUACAUCAUACCCAUUAGAAACUUAUAAUGAACUAAUAAUAUUGUUAUGAGCUGGAGCAUCUCUUGGGCGAGGUCAUCGUAGUGUUAGGUCGCAACAUUACAGGAUUUUCAACUUUCCUGAAGUAUGGACGCCUUACUACUGAAGUUGUAUUUUUUUCCCGAAGGUUCAAUGUAGUACUAUAACUAUAAUGUAUAUUUAUUUAUCUCUGUUCUCGGUGGUGAAAUCUUACGAGUUUUAACUUAUUUAUUGCAGUCACCCAUACCUUAUCAACAUAAUUUUCUCUUAUCAAUGUAGAAAGCACGUAUAAGAAUACAAAACGCUAAACUGCACAAUUAUGGAAUUUCACUCAUGUCGAGGAGGAGGAAACGCCGUGCGAACUUCAGCAAGGAGGAACUUCAUGUCCUCCUGCAAGAGACCAAGAGGAGGAAGGACGUCCUCCUCGGGAAAUACUUCGGGACGAUUCAAGCCAAGAAUGACGAGUGGGAGAGGGUGGCAUAGGCUGUCAAUAAUGUCAGCAGUGUUGGCAGGGAGGCGGAGGAAGUGAGGAAGAAAUUUUAUGCUUAUAGGACUUUUGUCAAGGAAAGUCAGGGAAAGAAGUGCAGAGGAUGACAUGAUAGAUGAGAUUUAACAUCACCUCUGAAGCGGAGCCCCUAAGAGCCGCAGAGGAGACUAUGUUAGAGAUCUUAAGUGACUUACCAACGGAGAUGUCGUGGACAAACGUCAUCACUACAGGAGACUCUGAAGAAGCAAUGAAGCUGAGAUCCUUCAGGAGCAAUGUAAAGUAUGCUGUAGAAAAUAAUAAGCCAUCUGAAGAAAGAAAUAUUUGUAAGGAAAGUCAUGUUCCUUCUUCCUUCACCCAAGUGUUUAAAUCCACUGAAAAUGAUAUUAAAGUUCCCAAAGAUAUCAUUACAACAAAUGUUUUGCAUAAGUAUCAAAGAUAAAUUCUGCAGGAACCCACAAGGAAAAAUAGAACCUUAAUAUAGAUCAUCCUGGAACACAAAAAAAAUCAUUAAGAGACAAAGCCAAACCUUCAAAGAGAAAACACCCAGUGCAAACAAGCCAAAGAGGAGAGGGAUGCCCACAAUACCCUUCAGAAACUCUCACAAUAUUCCAUCUAAGCUUCUUUACAUUCAGCCCCCAAGACCAGAUGAGAAGAUACAUGAGUCAGAGAUGGAUAUUGUGGAAGAUUUAGCCUUUGGUAAUCCCCUGGGUCGGAUUAGCAUGAAGGUCCUGAUUAACAAUUUGUCAUCAGCCAAGUCGGCUACCAAAUCAGAAGCAGAGUUCACAAAGAAUGCAAGAUUACAUGCCACAUGAAGAAGACAGCUGAAAAUGUGAUAAGAAUCCACCUAAAGCUGCUAAUUAUUCUAAUAAGACUAUGGGAACUUAUAGAGUACUUUACCUGUGAAUACACCACACACAUUAAAUUGCAAGAUAGGCAAGAUACCCUUUGAGAAUCUAGUCACUUUUUUCAAGAAUAGUUUUAUAACUGAACAAGUUAUAUGAUGGUCUUGUGUGAUAAUAAUUCAUCAUUUGAGACAUUUAAGUACAUCAGUAGUAGCAUUUUGGUUGUGUAUAUGAUAGGUAAAAUGCAUAAAUUGUACUUUUUUUAUUGAAAUAAAAUAAACUUGGUACCAUGCUUGGAACUCACCUCAUGAAGUUCUCAUUUUAUUGGUAAUUAUUAUUCUAUUAUUUACAAACAUAUGUAUAUUAUAUAAUUUGUUUUUGUUUACGUAUUGUUGAACAAUACAGCAUUUUCUAUUUUAGUUUCCCAUUAAAGGGGAAAGUAAAUCAUAUAUUUAUCAUUCUCAGUAUGCUGAGAAACAUAAUGUCCAUAUUGGAGCUAAAGAAGUAUGGCAUUUAGAAAUGGUGUGGCACUUCAGUUGUACCAUUUGUAUCUACUGAAAUAAAAAUUGAUUUAUUGUAUGUG